AUUGAACGCUGGCGGCAGGCCUAACACAUGCAAGUCGAGCGGAUGAAGAGAGCUUGCUCCCUGAUUUAGCGGCGGACGGGUGAGUAAUGCCUAGGAAUCUGCCUGGUAGUGGGGGAUAACGUUCCGAAAGGAACGCUAAUACCGCAUACGUCCUACGGGAGAAAGCAGGGGACCUUCGGGCCUUGCGCUAUCAGAUGAGCCUAGGUCGGAUUAGCUAGUUGGUGAGGUAAUGGCUCACCAAGGCGACGAUCCGUAACUGGUCUGAGAGGAUGACCAGUCACACUGGAACUGAGAGACGGGCCAGACUCCUACGGCAGGCAGCAGUGGGGAAUAUUGGACAAUGGGCGAAAGCCUGAUCCAGCCAUGCCGCGUGUGUGAAGAAGGUCUUCGGAUUGUAAAGCACUUUAAGUUGGGAGGAAGGGCAGUAAGUUAAUACCUUGCUGUUUUGACGUUACCGACAGAAUAAGCACCGGCUAACUUCGUGCCAGCAGCCGCCGUAACAC
rnacentral:rRNA from 1 species